rnacentral:lncRNA from 1 species
CUCCCUUCUUAGAGCCUCGACAUUCUUCCGCCUUAAUAUCCCCCAUCAUGAGCUCCCCCUCUUCUAACUCUUCUAUCUCAAAUUCCUCAUCCUCGGAGACCGAGAGAACAUUAAAACGAGAUGGUGAAACAAUGGCUUCACCAGCCCCAUCCGCCUCUCUUUGGCUUGGGGGACCAUUAUCUACCAGUGACCACUUUUGAUGUUCUUCCCCCUCAAACACAAAACCUUCUGCACUUCCUUCCACAACUAUUUGCAUAUCUGAGCUUGCACCCGCAUCAGCUACCUUACUCGCUCCCUCCUUAUCCAAACUAACCCGAUGACUCGAAGAAGCCAC